rnacentral:rRNA from 1 species
ACAAGCGGUGGAGCAUGUGGUUUAAUUCGAAGCAACGCGAAGAACCUUACCAGGUCUUGACAUCUUUUGAUCACCUGAGAGAUCAGGUUUCCCCUUCGGGGGCAAAAUGACAGGUGGUGCAUGGUUGUCGUCAGCUCGUGUCGUGAGAUGUUGGGUUAAGUCCCGCAACGAGCGCAACCCUUAUGACUAGUUGCCAGCAUUUAGUUGGGCACUCUAGUAAGACUGCCGGUGACAAACCGGAGGAAGGUGGGGAUGACGUC